rnacentral:lncRNA from 1 species
AUGGCCUUUGCAGCCUCUCUGGCUGAGCUCCAAGCAGAGGCCAGCUGCCCCAUCUGCCUGGAUUACAUGAAGGACCACUCAUUGUGGGCACAACUUCUGUCGCUCCUGCAUCCACAAGUGCUGGGAAGACCUACAAGAUGUCCUCCCCUGUCCUGUCUGCCUCCGUCACUGCCCUGAUGAGAACCUCAGGAGCAACACCCAGUUGUGCCACAUGACUGAUAUGGUUCAGCAGCUUCUUACCAUGAGAAGCAAGAGGAAAUGGCAGGAAGAGGAGCCCCUGUGUGGGAAGCACAGUCAGCGUCUGGCUCUGUUCUGUGAGAAGGGCCUGGAGCUGUUGUGUCCCCAGUGCAGGGUCUCCUCUGACCACCAGUAUCACCGCCUGAUGCCCAUUGAGCAAGCUGCAGCCAGAAACAGGAGAAAGCUCGAAAGCUACAUUAAGCCACUAAAGAAGGAAACUGAACAUGCCAAGAAAAUAAGAACUCUCAGGCAAAAAAAAAAAAAAAAAAAAAAAAAAAAAAAAAAAAAAAAGACCACUGUACUGCUGGAGUGCAGUUGCGUGAUCUCGGCUCACUGCAAGCUCCGCCUCCCGGGUUCACGCCAUUCUCCUGCCUCAGCCUCC